rnacentral:lncRNA from 1 species
GAAAAUGGAUCACAAAGGUUUUGAACUCGGCAUUCAUGUUGUUGUUUUUCUUUGUGCACAAACUAUUUUAUGGGGUGUUGUCCAACUUGACUCUUUUUCACUCAAUUUUUUUUCUUUUGAGUAUCACAUUAAUGCAUGAGUCUUUGACCUAGGCAAGUGCAUAUACUUCAUUUCUUUUUUUCAUUUCUAUUUUAUUUUUUCUGGUAGAAGCGGAUAUUUCUACACUAAUUUUCUUUUCUUUAUGUUGCACUUUCCCCUUUUUAAAAAU